CCUACGGGGGUCAGCAGUGAGGAAUAUUGGUCAAUAGUCGGAAGCCUGAACCAGCCAAGUAGCGUGCAGGAUGACGGCCCUACGGGUUGUAAACUGCUUUUAUACGGGAAUAACGCGCCUUACGUGUAGGGCUUUGCAUGUACCGUAUGAAUAAGGACCGGCUAAUUCCGUGCCAGCAGCCGCGGUAAUACGGAAGGUCCGGGCUUUAUCCGGAUGUCGUGGGUUUCAAGGGAGCGUAGGCCGCAUGUCAAGCGUGCUGUGAAAUGUUCGGGCUCAACCCGGGCCUUGCAGCGCGAACUGGCGUGCUUGAGUCCGCGGAAAGCAGGCGGAAUUCGUCGUGGAGCGGGGAAAUGCUUAGAUAUGACGAAGAACCCCGAUUGCGAAGGCAGCUUGCUGCAGCGGAACUGACGCUGAUGCUCGAAAGCGCGGGUAUCGAACAGGAUUAGAUACCCGGGUAGUC
rnacentral:rRNA from 1 species